UGUGUAUAUUCAAACGGUGUGUAAAAUUGAGAAAGGUGCGUAUAUUCAAAAUGUGUGUAGCAUAGAAAGGUGUGUAUAUUCAAAAGGUGUGUAAAAUUGGGAAAGGUGUGUAUAUUCAAAAGGUGUGUAAAAUUGGGAAAGGUGUGUAUAUUCAAAAGGUGUGUAAAAUUGAGAAAGGUGUGUAUAUUCAAAAGGUGUGUAGCAUAGAAAGGUGUGUAUAUUCAAAAGGUGUGUAAAAUGGAGAAAGGUGUGUAUAUCCAAAAGGUGUGGUAUGGUAUGGUAAAACUUUAUUUAAACACGCUAGCCUCGAUCAAUGUGAGCUGCUUUUCAUGAG